UACGUAGGGGGCAAGCGUUGUCCGGAAUCAUUGGGCGUAAGCGCGUGUAGGCGGCUCGAUAAGUCUGCUGUGAAAGUCCAGGGCUCAACCCUGGGAUGCCGGUGGAUACUGUCGAGCUCGAGUCCGGAAGAGGCGAGUGGAAUUCCUGGUGUAGCGGUGAAAUGCGCAGAUAUCAGGAGGAACACCAAUGGCGAAGGCAGCUCGCUGGGACGGUACUGACGCUGAGACGCGAAAGCGUGGGGAGCAAACAGG
rnacentral:rRNA from 1 species